ACAGAGGGCGCGAGCGUUGUCCGGAAUCACUGGGCGUAAAGGGCGCGUAGGUGGCCACCAUAAGGCCGCGGUGAAAGCUUGGGGCUCAACCCCAGGUCGGCCGCGGCGACUGUGGGGCUGGAGCACUGUAGAGGCAGGCGGAAUUCCGGGUGUAGCGGUGGAAUGCGUAGAGAUCCGGAAGAACAUCGGUGGCGAAGGCGGCCUGCUGGGCAGUAGCUGACACUGAGGCGCGACAGCGUGGGGAGCAAACAGGA
rnacentral:rRNA from 1 species